rnacentral:ncRNA from 1 species
GGAAAUACAAAGAUAGGAAAUAGUAAAUAAUGAUAUGAAGCAUAGAGAGACUUUGGUUGGUGAAAAAAGUCGAGAAUACAUUAUUGAACUCAUCCUUGAGUGGAGCACUGAAACAAUAGGAGUAAGCUGCUACGGAACUUGCGACCGUUAUCACGCUAGAGUAUGAACUUAUAAAUAAGCGUACUUGAUAAGGUUAUUGUCGUGAGGCAAUAAUAAAUAUGAGGUGGAACCACGAAGUGAGUAACUCUCGUCCUCUAU